rnacentral:lncRNA from 1 species
AACUCCGACGCGGCCGCGGCGCGGAGCGCGCGAGGCUGGCGGAGAGCGGGACGGCGCGCGCUCCGGAAGGCCGCUAGAGGGCGCAGCAGCCCCGAGAAUCUUACCCGGCUCGGCCGCUCGGCCGCCCGCCCGCCGGCGGCUCCGGCUCGCGGUCCCCGGACAGCGCAGCCUGCCCCGCAGCUCCACCACCUUCGGCGGACGUUCCGCACCGUCCAGCCUCCUGCCCCUCCGCCCCCACAACUGACGCCCGCUGCUCCUCCUCCCGCCGCCCCCACGCCCUGGGCCGCUCAGCCGCCCCGGAGCUGGUGGCGACGACCGCCCGCUCGGAGUUUAGCGUCCCUGUCGGUCGCGCUCCUGGCCUCAGAGCUGCAGCGGCCUCGGCGCCCUAGGCACGACGCUAGGCGUUUGCAUUGUUUUCGGCUGAGACCCGAGAGGGGGCCGGUCGGGGUGGAGGGAGAGGGGCCGGGCGGGGUGGAGAGAGAGGGGCCGGGGGGUUUAGGGUUACAGUCGCGCGCCAGCGCCUCCUAUGGGCCCAAAAGCGGCACGGCCGCGGGCAGCUGCUCUCGGAGAAGGCCGCGGUGCGCUGAAACUGCGACCCCUCGUCUUUCAAGAACCCAGCUUCCCCUGCGCCCCCCUGCCCGAUGGUCGCCUCUGUCCCCGCUGCCCAGCACACAGUCGCGCCCGCCUGCGCCCCUCGCUUCCCUUUCUAGGGGAAAGGGAAGACUGCGGUUGGCUGGGAGGGAGCGCCCCAAGUCUAAGGUCCUCUUUAGCUACUCCAACCUAUUUUUCGAGCCGAUUCCUGGCUUACUGUUCAGUUUAAAACAAAAGGAAAUGCCGCAGAGCCACUUCAGCAAAAGACAUGGACCGGCAGAGCCUGGACUAGAGCGCAAUGGGGCAAAGCAAUUUGCCCAGAGCCUGCAUCCCGCGCGGGACCUCCCCCCUCACACCCCGACGACUGAUGCUGUGCGUGGGCCCCUUGAAGCCAGAUUCAAGGGACGUUGA